UACGGAAGGGGCAAGCGUUGUUCGGAAUUAUUGGGCGUAAAGAGCUCGUAGGCGGUUUGUUGCGUCGGCUGUGAAAUCCCGAGGCUCAACCUCGGGUCUGCAGUCGAUACGAGCAAACUAGAGUGUUGCAGGGGAGACUGGAAUUCCUGGUGUAGCGGUGAAAUGCGCAGAUAUCAGGAGGAACACCGGUGGCGAAGGCGGGUCUCUGGGCAACAACUGACGCUGAGGAGCGAAAGCGUGGGGAGCGAACAGG
rnacentral:rRNA from 1 species